rnacentral:rRNA from 1 species
UACGAAGGGGGCUAGCGUUGCUCGGAAUUACUGGGCGUAAAGCGCACGUAGGCGGCUUUGUAAGUUAGAGGUGAAAGCCCGGGGCUCAACUCCGGAACUGCCUUUAAGACUGCAUCGCUUGAAUCCAGGAGAGGUGAGUGGAAUUCCGAGUGUAGAGGUGAAAUUCGUAGAUAUUCGGAAGAACACCAGUGGCGAAGGCGGCUCACUGGACUGGUAUUGACGCUGAGGUGCGAAAGCGUGGGGAGCAAACAGG